GACGUAGGGGGCAAGCGUUAUUCGGAAUUAUUGGGCGUAAAGCGCUCGUAGGCUGGACGACAAGUCCGUGUUGAAAGACCUCGGCUCAACUGAGGGACCGGCUCGGAUACUGUCGUUCUUGAGGGCUUCAGAGGGACACGGAAUCCGGGUGGAGUGGUGAAAUGCGUAGAGAUCCGGAGGAACACCAAAGGCGAAGGCAGUGUCCUGGGGAGUACCUGACGCUCAGGUGCGAAAGCCAGGGGAGCGAACGGG
rnacentral:rRNA from 1 species